rnacentral:lncRNA from 1 species
CUUGGCGUUCACUGCAAGCUAUAAGCUCUGCAAGUGGUGACCCCGACGUGAUCGCCUUGAAGUUACGCGUGAAGGAGGAGAGCUCAUUACUUUUCGGGGAAUCCUGAGAACAGGACCAGUCGUUGGAGAACCAACCAACAAUGAUGGUGAUGACUCGGAAGGCACCUGACAUCACCUGGGGACAGCUAAAGAAAUUGAAUCAACAAGCAUCUAUCCAGCUUGCCGCCGUGGAAGCCCCUGCAACUGCAGACAAUCGGUUUCUUACAUAUCUGGUGGCAAUUGGGGAAACUUCUGAGAAAGUAAGACAGACAUGGAUGUUGGGGUGGCAGGCACUUGCAGAUGGCUCUGUGCUGCCACCCGACGCAUCUAUGACCAGGGAAGAAUCAUGGAAGCUUACCUUGCAUUGGAUGACCAGCACGCUAUAAGAAUUAAAGAAGGGGGGAAUAUGGCGGGGUGCACGACAGCAUAUUCAAGCUUAUGUACAAGGCGUUUGAGGUCGGGGCAUGGAAACAUACUGAGGCACUGUGUGUAUGUUAUUUGUGCAUGAGAAUGAAACUCCUUGACCCUGAAAACAGGACGGGGAGUGGAGUGUGUGGUGUGAUAAGGAACGCUGAAAACAGCCUCCCGAGAAUGCGGUUUGAGUGCUUUUACCAGGCCACAGGUGUCUCAUGACCCGACCUCAAAAAGGCCAUCUAGUGGAUGUUUGUGGUCUAACAAGCCCUUUCAAUGAAUACUUGGCGGACAGAUGCUGGGGCGGAGUCUCUUAGAAGAGCUGCCCCCGGCCCCCCUCAGCUGGAUUUGUCUGAGAACUCAUUCUUGGCGUUCACUGCAAGCUAUAAGCUCUGCGAUGGGCCCUGAAAAAAAAAAAUCGAUACUACGAUGACUCUCAUAUGUAUUUCUUCAGCCCAGAUCCAGACCUUUGUCUACUCAGCUUCUCCACGUGGAUACCUAAUAGGCAUCUCAAAUUUAAAUAUCCAAAACCAAACUCCUGACAUUAAACACAAGAAGCAAGAAAUAUGAACAUAUUUUCUGAUUCCACUAAUAUAAAAGUACAUAACAGUCAA